ACUGGAGGACCGAACCGACUAAUGUUGAAAAAUUAGCGGAUGACUUGUGGCUGGGGGUGAAAGGCCAAUCAAACCGGGAGAUAGCUGGUUCUCCCCGAAAGCUAUUUAGGUAGCGCCUCGUGAAUUCAUCUCCGGGGGUAGAGCACUGUUUCGGCAAGGGGGUCAUCCCGACUUACCAACCCGAUGCAAACUGCGAAUACCGGAGAAUGUUAUCACGGGAGACACACGGCGGGUGCUAACGUCCGUCGUGAAGAGGGAAACAACCCAGACCGCCAGCUAAGGUCCCAAAGUCAUGGUUAAGUGGGAAACGAUGUGGGAAGGCCCAGACAGCCAGGAUGUUGGCUUAGAAGCAGCCAUCAUUUAAAGAAAGCGUAAUAGCUCACUGGUCGAGUCGGCCUGCGCGGAAGAUGUAACGGGGCUAAACCAUGCAC
rnacentral:rRNA from 1 species